CAGAUAAUGAAUUUGUUUGCUUUUUAAAUUUUAUAGUGUAUUUAUAUAUUGUAACAACUCUAAGAAAUUCACAUUUACACAAUGCAUUUUACACUAAUAGGUAAGUACAUGUAACAUUCAGCUUUUGGGGGGGGCUGAAAUUUCUGUGGGGAUUUAUUAUAUCUUGGAUAUUACCAUAGAGAAUCACAGUGAAUCCUCCUCAUACAUGGCAUGUCUGUCCACAACCUCUGGACAAACUGAACAUGUAAAAACAUACUGGUCAUGCUCAUCACAUAUUGCCACUUUUGCACUGUAGGUAGAGUAUAUUGUGGUCGGUAAAAUAGGACCACAGCAGAUGGCAUGUACGUAGAUGAUGCUAUAUGGAUUUCAACAACAUUAGUAGUACGUUUUAACCUAUGGCCUAUACUUCCUGAAACCUUCAUUAACACUCAAAUGAUGAAACAAAACACAGAUCAUACAACAAGUCAGAAUACAAACGGAAGAAGAAGAAGAAGAAGAAGUGUUCUGAACAGAACUCAAAGACACCUGACUCUGUACACAGGCACUUGUAUAGCACAGUCUUUGAGUGUGCCUAUUACAUCUAAUAAGUGCUAAAACAAGAAACCGUUUACAAAAAAAUACUGAUUUCAAAAAAGAGAAUAAUAUUCAUAACAAAAACAAUAGAAGAAUAUUGAAUGUUUUGCAUAUUUAUGUCUGUAACGUUAUUCAGCUUUACAUUCUUAUAUUAUCUUCAUCCACUCUACCAGUGUCCCCUGCUGUGGAGGAACAGUACAGAUUGAGUCAUACUGUAGAUUCUAUAUUGACACCUCUAUUCACCUGUGAGACAGCACAGUGUUAGAUUGAGCCCGUGGGGCCGCCAGCCACAGUGAAAGGUUCAGUUGUUCACUAGUCGUUGAUGACAAUCCCUCCUGUUAGUCAGUGGUAUUAUGCCAAUCUGUUGGUCCACUGGGUCCUACUGCACUUCCAUUGUGGAGCAAUAUGAAUCACACUGCUGUCAAUAAUAUUGUGUGAAACACUGUGUGUGUGAAGCCACUGGAUAUGUCACAAGGAGAAAGAGGCCCCCAGGGGGAAUAUAGUGUGGCUGUGUUGGUCUGUUUUCUAUUCAAAAGCCUCAAAACUCACUACUAUGAGAGCGUCUUCCCUGCUGUAUCUUUGCUAUGCCAGAUUCUCUCUCUCUCUCUCUCUCUAUCUCUAUCUCUCUCUCUCUCUCUCUCUCUCUCUCUCUCUCUCUCUCUCUCUACCUCUCUCUCUCUCUCUCUCUCUCUCUCUCUCUCUCUCUCUCUCUCUCACACAGACACAAAAGUAUCUCUGCUAAUAUCUCUACUUUGCUAUCUACCUACAUCUACAUUCAAGCACCAAACCACACCAAAGGGACCCUGAGUAAUCACAUGUCCCUGGGAAUCAAACCUGGACUUCAAAGCAGUACAGUUACAGUAAGCGUAGCUACAUUGCUAACAUCUAAUACCUACUGCGUGUUCAGUAUGCUGCGUAUGCUUCAGUAUGCUUCAGAUCACUAUUGUGAUACAGUAAAAUGUCACUGCUCUUUCAGACACAUGAGAGGUGAGUAAUGGUAAUGUCACAUUGUUGCCACUUUAAAAGCGUUCUGUAUGUCUCUGUGCAGUACAUAACAGAGGGAUUCAGAUGAGAGCCAGCUGACUGAGUGAAGCUAAAUGAACCUGAAACCCUGAGGUAAUUAUACCUGCUUGUCAGGAAUGUCUCCCUAAUGGCCCCUGUGUUUACACCCAUACCCCUACCAUACCAUACCGCAGCAGACACAUUAGCGCCACCGCACACUCUUUAGCACACACACAUAUCUGCACGUGAGUGUGUGUGUGCAAGUGCUUGUGUUUAUUUCAGUGAGAUGGAAGUCUCUGACGAGUGUCCCAUGUCUCCACUCCUUAGCAAGUACAAUAUAAUGGAUAAUUAAGGGGAGUCUUGAGUAUAGCCUACUAUACAGUGUUUGUAUAUAAACUCUGUAUACUAUUUCUAGACAACUCUCGUCAGGCUACCAUGGAACAGCCUCGAAUACUGAUACUGCAGAGCCUCUUUCUGAUGAUGUCACAGUUCCAUUUUUGGCAGUUGGACAUCACAUUAUGCGUCAGGUCAAUGAGUCAGGAAUGUUAAAUAGUCCAAAAAUGCUCCUCACAUUGCAUAUCACAGCUCCUGGGGUAAUGGAGCUGCACUGCUGAGGAGGCCUUGUAACUCAAACCACUAAGAGAGGCAGAUGUGCCACAAACAGACAUGAGAGAAACAUCUAGAAUCUGUUACAUUCAAAGCAUGAAUCAUUCCAACAGAAUCCUGGAGUCCAUGUUGGAUGGAGAAAAGGAGUCAAGUGUGUCAGAAAACAGAGGAGGGAUGGUGUAUCAUGUUGCGGUGACAGAAUGAUGGAAUGAUCCACAGCCAAUGAGAAUAGGAGAGCAGUAAUCAGAGGCAACAGUAUAACAACAACACAAAUGUGUCCGUCCCUGUACACCUUAGGAAUGUCUGUGUCUGUGGUAAAGAAAAAGGAUAGGAGAUUUUGGAAUGGGCGACUAAUGCUGCAUUUAGACGAGGGACGCAGAAACCAUCAUACAAGAAGAAAGCAAGCCAGCACGACGGUAUGUGUUGCUAUGGUGAUUUUGGUAAACAAACAGUGCAAAUCAACAUCUGGUAGAAAACAACGCUACGACAGACAACAAAAGUUUAAAUAUUUUCACUCUGGUGGCAUGUCCCGUCUACCGUGACCUCAACGGCAUUUACCGUCGUGCUCUCAUUGAAAACAAUGACAUCCGGACGCCGUCUACCUCGUACCAUCUAAACGCAGCAUAACCGUUCCCCCACUGAGUUGUGUUGAAUAGAUAACAGUGGGAUACUAUCAGACAGGUUCACAUGGAGGAUUACAACAAGCUGCUACUGCUGAGGUCUGAGAAGACAGUCUGGAGGUGUGACGGAGUCACUGAGAGACUACUGCAGGACUUGCCCUGAGAACACACUAGGAUAGGAUAAGUACAGAUGGAGGGAUGGAAAGAGGGACAGAUAGUUACACGCUGAGAGAGAGAGAGAGAGAGUACAGACAAGGGGAGAGAGGGGACAGAGAGUUUAUCUACCUCUGAGGCACAAACAUUUGAUAAUUUGAGUGAGUAGGGGGGAACCAGGGGGUGGAUGAAUAAUAAUUUUAGCAAAUGGUCAAAGGAAGUUGGCAGUGAACUUAUGGGGACACAGGAUGAAACUCCUUCAUGGGAUAACAUACUAACACACUUUUCAUAAUGAUUGGUCCUCACCAGCUGACAGAAAAGACGGAGACCAGGAUAUCUAACACAGUGAUGCUUCUUGGAUUAUGGGUGGUAGUGAUAUUGUAACUUUAGUGACUUGAGGCAGACAGUUGGUGUUAGAGUUGGUAUUAGGGUUGGUGUUAGGGUUUGGUUUUGGGUUGGUGUUUGGCGUUGGUGUUAGGGUUGGUGUUAGGGUUGGUACUGGCGGAGAGGUUUAGUGUUCAAAGACACACUGGCAGAGUUGGGUUCUGUGUAGAGAUACUGGGAUAGCAUCAGAUAGCCUCUGGUGCUCCAGUCUGUCCAAUAAGGGUCCAUACUGGGACAAGAGUCCAGUCAGAAACCAGUGGCCACCCUUGGUGAAAAGGGGCGAUAAUGUCGUCAACUUCCUUGUUGUAUCCAAGAAGCCCACUCAGUCUGUACUCUUAUACUCUUAUACUUUAUGUCCGUUCCCACAUCAAGGUUUCCAUGGCAACCCCACUUCCCCCUCUCCUCCUUUUCCUCCUUCCUGUCAGCGGCUUCUCCUCUUCCUCAGACCUGGGGGGGAGGUGAGUCAGGUCCCCCAUCCACCCUCACCACUGAGAGAGAGAGAGAGAAACAUGUUAAAAACAUAUAUGAUCAGUGGUGAAACAUGCAGAUGUUCUCUGGUCGUAUGAAGUAACACAGUAUCAGUGUAUCCACUCUGACACACUUUGCCCUAUAGGGGGCCUUGUGAGGUCACAAACUCAUCAACCCCUCCAACUGUUUCACUGAACUCAUUACUACAGGGAGUGAGGAAGAGGGACAAAUGUCCCCUUUUCCCAUAAGCCCUCAACCUGUUGUCAAUUGAGGGGUGCCAUGGAAACGCUUCCGGAAUACAGAGGCGUUUUUUAGAGGAGCUCUGAGCUCUCUGGUUGUUUUCUUGUCUUGAUCAAUGCACCCCUGUGCCAGCCAGAAGAGAGCUCUCUAAUUCUAAAGGUUCACAAGAAGGGCUUUUUG
ensembl:lncRNA